rnacentral:rRNA from 1 species
CCUACGGGUGGCAGCAGUGGGGGAUAUUGCACAAUGGGGGAAACCCUGAUGCAGCGACGCCGCGUGGGUGAAGAAGGGCCUCGGCGCGUAAAGCUCUGUCAGCAGGGAAGAAAAUGACGGUACCUGAAGAAGAAGCCCCGGCUAACUACGUGCCAGCAGCCGCGGUAAUACGUAGGGGGCAAGCGUUAUCCGGAUUUACUGGGCGUAAAGGGGGCGCAGACGGGGUUGCAAGUCAGGAGUGAAAGCCCUGGGCCCAACCCCGGGACUGCUCUUGGAACUGCGUGGCUUGAGUGCAGGAGAGGCAGGCGGAAUUCCUGGUGUAGCGGUGAAAUGCGUAGAUAUCAGGAGGAACACCGGUGGCGAAGGCGGCCUUCUGGACUGCAACUGACGUUGAGGCCCGAAAGCGUGGGGAGCAAACAGGAUUAGAUACCCGAGUAGUC